rnacentral:tRNA from 2 species
GGGGCGGUAGCUCAAUUGGGAGAGUGCCUCGGUCGCAUCGAGGAGGUUGAGGGUUCGAUCCCCUUCCGCUCCA